UACGUAGGGUGCAAGCGUUAAUCGGAAUUACUGGGCGUAAAGCGUGCGCAGGCGGUUUUGUAAGUCUGUCGUGAAAUCCCCGGGCUCAACCUGGGAAUUGCGAUGGAGACUGCAAGGCUAGAAUCUGGCAGAGGGGGGUAGAAUUCCACGUGUAGCAGUGAAAUGCGUAGAGAUGUGGAGGAACACCGAUGGCGAAGGCAGCCCCCUGGGUCAAGAUUGACGCUGAGGAGCGAAAGCCAGGGGAGCAAACGGG
rnacentral:rRNA from 1 species